rnacentral:tRNA from 1 species
GGGUCGGUAGCUCAGUUGGUAGAGCACUGGAUUGAAAAUCCGGGUGUCAGCGGUUCAAGUCCGCUCCUUCCCACCA